UGCACACAUGACUGUAAGCCACUUUGGAUAAAAGCGUCUGCUAAAUGGCGUUUU
rfam:Salmo salar isolate Sally breed double haploid chromosome ssa13, whole genome shotgun sequence.